CUUUUGCAGUCAUUUUGGGAAAUAUGGAGAGAUAACAGAUUUAUACAUGCCGAAGGAUCAAGGCUCAAAAAUGCAUCGAGGAAUUGGGUUUAUUACCUUUGAAAAUGCAGACUCCGUGGAAAAUUUAAUGGCCGAUACCCAUGAAUUGGGGGGUUCCAAUGUAGUUGUUGAUCGAGCAACACCCAAGGCAAGGUACAGCAUAACUGACCUUUACUUUUAGUAUUAUUAAUCUUAUAGAUCAGUUUCCAUUUUAUAUUCAUAGUUUUGGUUCAUAGUUUUCGUUGAUAAUAAUAAGUUGUUGGUCACAUUGUUAAUUCAAGAAGGAAGAUUUAUAAAGUUUUGUUUUCAGGAAGAUGACUUUAAACCAUUGGGCAGAAUGCCAGCACCACAAGGUGGAUAUGGUGCAUACAAUGCGUAUAUCUCUG